GAGUUUGAUCUUGGCUCAGAUUGAACGCUGGCGGCAUGCCUUACACAUGCAAGUCGAACGGCAGCACGGGAGCUUGCUCCUGGUGGCGAGUGGCGAACGGGUGAGUAAUGCAUCGGAACGUAUCCUGGAGUGGGGGAUAACGUAGCGAAAGUUACGCUAAUACCGCAUAUUCUGUGAGCAGGAAAGCGGGGGACCUUCGGGCCUCGCGCUCUUGGAGCGGCCGAUGUCGGAUUAGCUAGUUGGUGAGGUAAAGGCUCACCAAGGCGACGAUCCGUAGCAGGUCUGGGAGGAUGAUCUGCCACACUGGAACUGAGACACGGUCCAGACUCCUACGGGAGGCAGCAGUGGGGAAUUUUGGACAAUGGGGGCAACCCUGAUCCAGCCAUGCCGCGUGAGUGAAGAAGGCCUCGGUUGUAAGUACGUACUUU
rnacentral:rRNA from 1 species